rnacentral:lncRNA from 1 species
CCGGGAUCGUGGUAUCACCAAGGACGGUUAAAAUUAAAAAUGAAAAUCGAUAUAGAAAGUGCUUUAACCGUCCUUGGUGAUAUUGCGAUCCCGGACUGUGCACGGGAGUUGUUCACGUUGGGACCGUCCUGCGCUGUUUGCAGGGGACUUGCACCUUCGGACGAUGUCCCUAUAGUUGAAGACAUUGUGGCCAAUACAUGUGAUGGUGGGUUGGAUGGGCGUGGGGCGCGGUGGAGCUGUGUUCGCGAGAGAGUUGGUGCCAAUGGAGGCGCAGCGGGGCCGGCCGGAGGCCGUGGGACAGAGGGGCUGGUAGCGAGAGCAACACGAUG